rnacentral:tmRNA from 1 species
GGGGCUGAUUUGGAUUAGACAGCAAGUUGAGUGGGAUUGUAAGCAUGCCGAGCGUUGUGAAUAUGGCUCGUAAAUCCUAAUUCACGAAGCCUAUAAACGGCGACAAUCACAAUUACGCAAUGGCAGCCUAGUAGUAGCUAUUAGCUGCUUGCUGUUUCCCGGAAAGCGACGUCCGUUAGCGUUCCGAGUGAAGCAUCGAUAAAAUACGGAAUAAGGCAGGUAACGCUUCGGUGCCUGCACGAAAAAUAAAGAAGCUCUGGCUGAAGAUAGGGCGGCCUUUUCCCGGUCCGAAGCCGAAAUCCCAACUAAAGGCUAAGCAUGUAGAAAGCACUUUCGCUGCUUGUUUGGACGAGGGUUCAAGUCCCUCCAGCUCCACAA